GUGCUCACUUUGGCAACACAUAUACUAAAACUGGAAUGAUACAUAGAUUAGCUGGCCCCUGGGCAAGGAUGACACACAAGUUCAGGAAGCAUUCCAUAUUUUU